GCGAUUUGUAGCUCAUUCCUAGAGUGCUGGUCUUGUAAGCCAGAGGUAAAAUAUAUAGUAUUUCUAUCGC
rnacentral:tRNA from 1 species